rnacentral:rRNA from 1 species
GCUCCAGACUCCUACGGGAGGCAGCAGUGGGGAAUAUUGCACAAUGGGGGAAACCCUGAUGCAGCAACGCCGCGUGAAGGAAGACGGUUUUCGGAUUGUAAACUUCUGUUCUUAGUGAAGAAGAAUGACGGUAGCUAAGGAGCAAGCCACGGCUAACUACGUGCCAGCAGCCGCGGUAAUACGUAGGUGGCAAGCGUUAUCCGGAUUUACUGGGUGUAAAGGGCGUGUAGGCGGGGAAGCAAGUCAGAUGUGAAAACCACGGGCUCAACCUGUGGCCUGCAUUUGAAACUGUUUUUCUUGAGUGCUGGAGAGGCAAUCGGAAUUCCGUGUGUAGCGGUGAAAUGCGUAGAUAUACGGAGGAACACCAGUGGCGAAGGCGGAUUGCUGGACAGUAACUGACGCUGAGGCGCGAAAGCGUGGGGAGCAAACAGGAUUAGAUACCCCAGUAUUC